rnacentral:misc_RNA from 1 species
GCAAACUUGGUCAUUUAGAGGAAGUAAAAGUCGUAACAAGGUCUCCGUAGGUGAACCUGCGGAGGGAUCAUUAUGGAGUCCGUGCCCACCCGGGCAGACCCCCCACCCCCUGUCAUCGCUACGACCGUUGCCUCGGCGGGCCGCCCGCGGCCCGCCAGGGGCCCCGCAGACCCUCCGUGUAGGUCGUCUGAGCACCGCGUAAUCGUCAAAACCUUCAACAACGGAUCUCUUGGCUCUGGCAUCGAUGAAGAACGCAGC